rnacentral:rRNA from 1 species
AGAUUGAACGCUGGCGGCGUGCCUAACACAUGCAAGUCGAGCGGUAACAGGUGUAGCAAUACAUGCUGACGAGCGGCGAACGGGUGAGUAAUGCUUUGGAAUCUUCCCAGUAGUGGGGAAUAACCAGUCGAAAGAUUGGCUAAUACCGCAUACGUCUGUAAAGGGAAAGCGGGGGCUCGUAAGACCUCGCGCUAUUGGAUGAGCCAAAGUCGGAUUAGCUAGUUGGUGGGGUAAUGGCCUACCAAGGCGACAAUCCGUAGCUGGUCUGAGAGGACGACCAGCCACACCGGAACUGAGACACGGUCCGGACUCCUACGGGAGGCAGCAGUGGGGAAUAUUGGACAAUGGGGGAAACCCUGAUCCAGCGACGCCGCGUGUGUGAAGAAGGCCUGGCGGGUUGUAAAGCACUUUUAGUGGGGACAAAAAGCUACGGAUUAAUACUCUGUGGUCUUGAUUUAACCCAAAGAAAAGCACCGGCUAACUCUGUGCCAGCAGCCGC